rnacentral:rRNA from 1 species
UACGUAGGGGGCUAGCGUUGUCCGGAAUCAUUGGGCGUAAAGAGCGUGUAGGCGGUCCGGUAAGUCCGUUGUGAAAGUCAGGGGCUCAGCCCUUGAAUGCCGGCGGAUACUGUCGGGCUAGAGUCCGGAAGAGGCGAGUGGAAUUCCCGGUGUAGCGGUGAAAUGCGCAGAUAUCGGGAGGAACACCUAUGGCGAAGGCAGCUCGCUGGGACGGUACUGACGCUGAGACGCGAAAGCGUGGGGAGCAAACAGG